GGUUAAGCGACUAAGCGUACACGGUGGAUGCCCUGGCAGUCAGAGGCGAUGAAGGACGUGCUAAUCUGCGAUAAGCGCCGGUAAGGUGAUAUGAACCGUUAUAACCGGCGAUUUCCGAAUGGGGAAACCCAGUGUGACUCGUCACACUAUCAUUAACUGAAUCCAUAGGUUAAUGAGGCGAACCGGGGGAACUGAAACAUCUAAGUACCCCGAGGAAAAGAAAUCAACCGAGAUUCCCCCAGUAGCGGCGAGCGAACGGGGAGGAGCCCAGAGCCUGAAUCAGCAUGUGUGUUAGUGGAAGCGUCUGGAAAGGCGCGCGAUACAGGGUGACAGCCCCGUACACAAAAGCGCAUGUGCUGUGAGCUCGAUGAGUAGGGCGGGACACGUGGUAUCCUGUCUGAAUAUGGGGGGACCAUCCUCCAAGGCUAAAUACUCCUGACUGACCGAUAGUGAACCAGUACCGUGAGGGAAAGGCGAAAAGAACCCCGGCGAGGGGAGUGAAAAAGAACCUGAAACCGUGUACGUACAAGCAGUGGGAGCACCCUUUGGGGUGUGACUGCGUACCUUUUGUAUAAUGGGUCAGCGACUUAUAUUCUGUAGCAAGGUUAACCGUAUAGGGGAGCCGCAGGGAAACCGAGUCUUAACCGGGCGUUAAGUUGCAGGGUAUAGACCCGAAACCCGGUGAUCUAGCCAUGGGCAGGUUGAAGGUUGGGUAACACUAACUGGAGGACCGAACCGACUAAUGUUGAAAAAUUAGCGGAUGACCUGUGGCUGGGGGUGAAAGGCCAAUCAAACCGGGAGAUAGCUGGUUCUCCCCGAAAGCUAUUUAGGUAGCGCCUCGUGAACUCAUCUCCGGGGGUAGAGCACUGUUUCGGCUAGGGGGCCAUCCCGGCUUACCAACCCGAUGCAAACUGCGAAUACCGGAGAAUGUUAUCACGGGAGACACACGGCGGGUGCUAACGUCCGUCGUGAAGAGGGAAACAACCCAGACCGCCAGCUAAGGUCCCAAAGUCAUGGUUAAGUGGGAAACGAUGUGGGAAGGCCCAGACAGCCAGGAUGUUGGCUUAGAAGCAGCCAUCAUUUAAAGAAAGCGUAAUAGCUCACUGGUCGAGUCGGCCUGCGCGGAAGAUGUAACGGGGCUAAACCAUGCACCGAAGCUGCGGCAGCGACGCUUAUGCGUUGUUGGGUAGGGGAGCGUUCUGUAAGCCUGCGAAGGUGGCCUGUGAGGGUUGCUGGAGGUAUCAGAAGUGCGAAUGCUGACAUAAGUAACGAUAAAGCGGGUGAAAAGCCCGCUCGCCGGAAGACCAAGGGUUCCUGUCCAACGUUAAUCGGGGCAGGGUGAGUCGACCCCUAAGGCGAGGCCGAAAGGCGUAGUCGAUGGGAAACGGGUUAAUAUUCCCGUACUUGGUGUUACUGCGAAGGGGGGACGGAGAAGGCUAUGUUGGCCGGGCGACGGUUGUCCCGGUUUAAGCGUGUAGGUGUGUGUUCCAGGUAAAUCCGGUUCACUUUAACACUGAGGCGUGAUGACGAGGCACUACGGUGCUGAAGCAACAAAUGCCCUGCUUCCAGGAAAAGCCUCUAAGCAUCAGGUAACAUCAAAUCGUACCCCAAACCGACACAGGUGGUCAGGUAGAGAAUACCAAGGCGCUUGAGAGAACUCGGGUGAAGGAACUAGGCAAAAUGGUGCCGUAACUUCGGGAGAAGGCACGCUGACACGUAGGUGAAGUGAUUUACUCAUGGAGCUGAAGUCAGUCGAAGAUACCAGCUGGCUGCAACUGUUUAUUAAAAACACAGCACUGUGCAAACACGAAAGUGGACGUAUACGGUGUGACGCCUGCCCGGUGCCGGAAGGUUAAUUGAUGGGGUUAUCCGUAAGGAGAAGCUCUUGAUCGAAGCCCCGGUAAACGGCGGCCGUAACUAUAACGGUCCUAAGGUAGCGAAAUUCCUUGUCGGGUAAGUUCCGACCUGCACGAAUGGCGUAAUGAUGGCCAGGCUGUCUCCACCCGAGACUCAGUGAAAUUGAACUCGCUGUGAAGAUGCAGUGUACCCGCGGCAAGACGGAAAGACCCCGUGAACCUUUACUAUAGCUUGACACUGAACAUUGAGCCUUGAUGUGUAGGAUAGGUGGGAGGCUUUGAAGUGUGGACGCCAGUCUGCAUGGAGCCGACCUUGAAAUACCACCCUUUAAUGUUUGAUGUUCUAACGUGGACCCGUGAUCCGGGUUGCGGACAGUGUCUGGUGGGUAGUUUGACUGGGGCGGUCUCCUCCUAAAGAGUAACGGAGGAGCACGAAGGUUGGCUAAUCCUGGUCGGACAUCAGGAGGUUAGUGCAAUGGCAUAAGCCAGCUUGACUGCGAGCGUGACGGCGCGAGCAGGUGCGAAAGCAGGUCAUAGUGAUCCGGUGGUUCUGAAUGGAAGGGCCAUCGCUCAACGGAUAAAAGGUACUCCGGGGAUAACAGGCUGAUACCGCCCAAGAGUUCAUAUCGACGGCGGUGUUUGGCACCUCGAUGUCGGCUCAUCACAUCCUGGGGCUGAAGUAGGUCCCAAGGGUAUGGCUGUUCGCCAUUUAAAGUGGUACGCGAGCUGGGUUUAGAACGUCGUGAGACAGUUCGGUCCCUAUCUGCCGUGGGCGCUGGAGAACUGAGGGGGGCUGCUCCUAGUACGAGAGGACCGGAGUGGACGCAUCACUGGUGUUCGGGUUGUCAUGCCAAUGGCACUGCCCGGUAGCUAAAUGCGGAAGAGAUAAGUGCUGAAAGCAUCUAAGCACGAAACUUGCCCCGAGAUGAGUUCUCCCUGAGACUUAAAGUCUCCUGAAGGAACGUUGAAGACGACGACGUUGAUAGGCCGGGUGUGUAAGCGCAGCGAUGCGUUGAGCUAACCGGUACUAAUGAACCGUGAGGCUUAACCUU
rnacentral:rRNA from 1 species